CUCGACUCCAACUUACCCAAUUUUAGGCACAACUUGUCAAAUGACCAGACAGGAUGUCUGGGUAAGGUGAGGUGAGCACACGGACGUGCUCUCCGUACCGGUUUGAUAACAAGUUGCGGCUUAAAUUGGAAUAGUAAGUUGGCCG
rfam:Paraglaciecola sp. S66 Contig18, whole genome shotgun sequence.